UAGAUUUCUUCUUUUUUUAUGCUCUCAAAGGCAAAAGCAUGAAAAGCUGCAUUUUGUCAGCAUUUUGCUUUAAAUGAGCUACUAGUUCUGUAUACUUGUAAAAUUAAAGUAAGACAAUGCUGCUAAUGGAUGCCUUUCUUAGCAUCUUCAAACAUACUAACCCAUUCAACCGUGUGCUCGAGUGUGUUCAUUUGAGCUCCUUUUUAAAAUUCUCCCUGUGCCUGAAAGGCAAAGUGAGGUGGGUUUUUCUUCUGCAUCUGGCUGAGGCUGACUUUCUGCUACAUACGGCUAAUCUAUCCUUCCCAACUGGUAUGUAGGCAGCUCACACAGAUAAUUCUGAAUAGCAACUUCUAGUCCCUCUUUUGUCCUGUGGAACAUAAGUGUGCUAAAGAGUGUGUACAGAAAUGUAUAGACACAUACAUGUUGAUGUUACUUUGGUUAUGGAAUACUGAUAAACCCAUGGAACACAGAAGAGCUGUUCUUAAGAUAGCUUUUUAUCAGGUAAUUAAGAUAAUUUUUAUCAGGCGAUCUCCUCAGGUCUACAAAAUCUUUUAUUCAUCUUAAUUUCAAAUGCCUGGAAGUUUCUAUCGUGAAUGUCUUCCAUAUCGUAGACGAUAUCAUAAAUCGUCUUCCAUAUUUUCUUUGAUUGUAUUCAUGAGAAAGAGCAUAAAUAUGUGUUUGUGUACCUCUGUUGCUUGUAAACAGAAGCGUUAGGCCUUACCUGGAAAGGUGGGUAUAUUGCGUGGCAAAGGGCAAGAAGACUUAGUGGAAGUUUCUCAGUAAAAUGGUGGUGGUAUGUUACAGUUCCUAAAGUUAUAUGCAUCAUUACCUGCUUUGUGAAACGUCACCUGUUUCAGUGGAACUUUGUGUUUCCAACUUGACUAUUGCAACCCUGCCAACAGAAACUUGAGGAAGGAUCAAGUAAGUGCUCACUGAACAUUCUGCCCAUCCAGGUGCAACUCUAGAAGCUCAUUUUUUUUCCAGUUAUACUUCUAAUGUUCAGUGGCAGUACUGAAGGAUUAAUAGAGGUGACUAAAUCUUUCUCUACAAUGAUACACUACAUACGUACAGCCUCUUUUUCUUAAAAGUAAGGUGGUGUUAACUCUCAUGCCCUGUCUGACUUCCAACUGUGUAAUUAUAGUUCUAUAUAAAAAAAAUUCCUAUGCAAGUUCAGUACAACACAGAAAAAACUGCUCGGUAGCGGUGGAGAUUUCUAGGUAAGCUGGACUGUAUGCCAAUUUCUGGACUUUUUAUCUAGAAUUGUAGAAUAUCCUGAGUUGGAAGAGACCCCCAAGGAUCAUAAGAUCGUAGGAUCAUAGAAUGGCCUGGGUUGAAAAGGACCACAAUGACCAUCGAGUUUCAACCCCCUGCUAUGUGCAGGGUCGCCAACCACCAGACCAGGCUGCCCAGAGCCACAUCCAGCCUGGCCUUGAAUGCCUCCAGGGAUGGGGAUGACUGAGUCCAUCUGCUGGCGCCACACAGGACCACCCAAAAUUCAAACUGUAUGUCUGAAAGUGCUGUCCAAACUCUCCUUGAACUCCAGCAGCUCGAGGCUGUGCCCACUGCCCUGGGCACCGUGCCCACCGCCCACUGGUGUAGAACGUUUUCCUCGUCCCCAAACUGACCCUUCCCUGACAGCUCCAUGCCAUUCUCUCAGGCCCUGUUGCUGUCACCAGAAAGAAGAGAUCCAUCACCUGCUUCUCUUCUUCCUCUGCUAAAAGUUAGACCAGAAAAAUUCAAAGAAAGAAGACUUUGUAUCCUGUGGAAAAUGAGGCGGUGCUGUAGAGCGGGGGAGAUCAUUCCAGGAUGUGGCUGGAAGGUCCCAUCUCCUCCACUGGAAGUCUGCUCCUCGUAGAAAAAUCUCAUCUCUUGGAGGACAGAACAGCCAAGCUGUUUUAUUUGGGAGAAUUUUGUCCUCAGGUUCUCUUCUAAACUCAGCCACAGCUGUCCGCUGAACUGAUAAAUCCUUCAGAAGCUAUCAUGGCUGAUACCCCAAAUAGAAGUGCAGCUGUAAGGAGAUUCAAGGCCACAGAUUUACUGGUACGUUUCAGUGGCUACAAAUGUGCUUAACUGCCUGUAAACCUCAUAUUUGCU
ensembl:lncRNA